rnacentral:lncRNA from 1 species
AAAAAAAAAAAAAAUGUGAGGACUGGGCACCACUCACAUAUAGGGCUUGCAAUCCCAGAAGACCAGCAGUAGAGACAGGCAUGCUUGGGGGACUCUGAUUGGCUGAACUUCACAGUGUAAAGGAGUUACCAGUUUACCCAGAGAGGCCACCUCAAUAAGAGAGGGAGCCUAAACAAGAAGAAGAUAACAGAUGUCAAUUUUUGACUCCACACAAACAGGUGUGGGCUCUCAUAUACAAACAUGCACAUACAUGUAGAAAAAGAAAGCACUGUAUAAUAAUAUUUCCUAAUUUGUGCUUAUAAAAUCCCUUCCUCCUAUUAGCAAUUCUGUUUUCUUCUCUGCCUUUAUUAAAGAAAACUCUUGAAGUCGUGGAUACUGAUGGAAAAUUCUUUCAGAGUGACAUGGCCCUCAAUAAAUAACUCUUCAUUCAUCAUUGCAACUACCAUUACAUAAACUUCCUGAUUUUUACUAUUGUAAUAUUUAAAAGGAAAUAGUAUCAAAGGUAUAAUUUUCAAGUAAAUCAAAUUAAAUGACGUUAUGAAUCAUAAUACAAUGUGUCUGACAUAGUAAUGCAGUUAGAUUUUUUUUUUUUUUGGCUUCUCGUCCUCAUUUUAAAUGAAAGAUUUUUUCAUUAUAUUUUACCACCUAACACAAAAGUAUGCCUCAUGAGUUCAUGGACUUGCCCCUUUUAAAGUACAUUAAAAUAAAACUAACCCCUUUGUUUCCUGUGGAUAACAUUUUUAUUUCCAGUUACUGUUUUUUUCUCAUGUUUUUAGGGGAAUUUCUACUCUUCUGAUAAAAUUUUAGCUUAAUUUUCCCCCCAAUGGUCUAGCUACAGACAAGCAUAGAAGUCAUCCAUUUCAGAAAUUAUCAUAUUUUUUCCCUAUACGGUUUAUUGGUGAUUGCAGAUGACAAGUACUAGUUCUUAAAAAGGUCACAAUUAUAUUAAUAAACUGCAUCAAAAAACAUUAUGAGUGGUUUAGAUGCAACAGAGGUAAGAACACCCUUCUAGCCCGUAUUGUUUUUAUUGCCCUAAUACCAUGAUGGUUUAAAGUUAUGCUCUGGUUAAAUGUUUCUUUUCAUACAUGAGGAAAAUGCACUGGGUAGAAAAGAGGAUGGAAAAGAAGAAAUAAGAUGGCAAGUGUAAGCAGCAAACUCAAGUAGCAGGAGUCUGGGACCUAUUUGAUGUGUAUUACUUUUUGGAGUUAAUGGUUAAUUCUGUAACACUAGCAAUAAAUAUGCAAAGUAAUUAUAAUUAUAUAACAGGACUACCUGGACAGUGCCACCAGAGGAACUGGCAUGGAACUUGGGAGAUUAAGCCUGUCCAAACCCCAGAAUUCUCCGAAAUUGGGAUUAGAAUCUCACCCAGGAGGAGUAGGCCUAACUCUCUCCCACUUUCCAUAUCUUCACCAGAACACUUAAAUAGGCAACCCCAAACCAGAUUGUCAGGGUCAGUUAGUCAUGUACCCAGAACCUAAAACAUCUCCUCUCCAUUCUAAUGAGUGUCUCAGUAGCCUUACCCUUCAGCCUUUCCUUCCCUGGAUAUUCUCACCCUUCCCCCCAAAACUAUACAAUCCUUGGUUCGUGCCAAUAAAGUGUAUGAUUUCAAACUCACACCCAAUAAGGAAAUAUGAACAAUCUAUGAUUGUCUCAGAGAGCUGCUUUAUUUUAAAAAAAUCAUUGGAUUUUUUAAAAAAGCUUUUGCGUAAAAGAGCAAUAAUACUAAGAUUUUUGGAGAACCCUCCCCACCCCAGCCACCCCCUAUUGCUGCACUUGUUCUCAACCAGUCUAGGAACCUGCUUGUCCAGGACUCUGCUUCCUCCCCCUGGUGUGGUAGGCAGUGAUGUCUGAAGGGCAGAGGUGGACUGCAGACCCCACCCAUCCUUGUCCUGACAUUCCAACAAGACAGAGGCUGAAUCUGGUACUAACUGUGCAUGGCUUGCUGUUAUUAAAUUUUGUAGUAAUCCCUCACUACAACCCAAAUUAUUUUAUCGUAUACUGUUGUGAAAGAGCUUGCAGUACAGAGAGGCAAAAUAACAUGGUCAAUAAUCAGACAGACAGCUGCUGAGUGAAUGCGCAUCUUAGCGUUGAGGUGUGUCUGCUCUCACUACCACCCACUCUCUGAUGUAUGCCCAUCUACUGCAGACUGCUAAGGUGACUGAGUGAUUAGCGAGCCAAGAUCAAUACAUAUUUUCAGUCCUUUAAUACAGAGAUUUUCUAGAAUGAUGAUCGCUUUUAAUGAGGCUUACCCAUGGCUGAAGUCCUUAAGCCAUUUCACAUCUUAUUCAUCUUACUGCUGAAUAUAAUUAAAUUAAGAACUGAAAGCUAUAAAUUUAAAUAUGAGUUUGAUAUCUUAACCUCUCAACAGAGGAAGUCUUGGUGUGGCUCCCUGUUACAUAGCUCGUUCAUUUUCCCACAUAUUUUUUUCAUCAUAGUUUUGUUUAUUUGUUAUUUUUUGGUUUAUUGUUUAUUUGUUAUAUUUUGGUUAUUGUUUAAGACUGGAGGGAAUAGCCACUCAUCUCUCCAUGGGAUGGCUGCAAAAUGAUUGAGAAUUACUUUGCCAAGGCUCAACUUAUUUACUUCAAAAUACAACGUGAGAGAACUCCUUUUUUGAAUCAUAAUAUAGUGAGUGGGGCAUGAUAAAGUAGAAUUUGAGGUGUAGCCAAAGAGAUUGGGGAGGUCAAGUUCAUCUGAUGUAAAAUAAUGCCCGGGAGUUUAUUAGAAAUAACAUCCUUACAGUAACAGAAUACAAAAAGCACAAGAUAGAGUUUUAAUGUGAAGAAGAAAAAGGAGAAGGAGGAGGAGAAUCUUGAUCACCACCAGGACCUCCACCUUGGAAUGUUACUACUUGUGAUAGUAUACAAAACCCCCAAACAAUAAGUGCUACCUUGGUGGGAGUACUGGUGCUUUCUGUUUACCUAACAUAUUUCUAUGAAACAGAAUAUUAAUGUUCCAUAUGGGAAGUCCUCAGACUCACUCUGUAACGUGAGAGGAAGGUGCAGCCGUGAUCUGACAAGUCAAUCCAGAGACCACUCGGGAGACUCAGGCGAGAACGAUUUGCUUUGCAGAUCGGCAGGGUGAGAAUUAGUGGCAUGUACCAUUGAGAAGUGGAGACUCGGAAAACUUCUUUGACUUAAAACAGUGGUGGAGGUGGAAAGUAUUUUCACUUUCUGAAAGGAGAGUCUGUAAGAUCUGCAAGAAGGAGGGGUUGCUGAUGGCCUUAGGAAUUGUGGGGGAGAUGCUUCUCUUGCUAUCUCCCAGAGGACACUGUGGGGUUGUCCAUGGCCCACUGUUAUUUAGUGUGUAAACUACUAUUUGCAGUUUAAUGAUGCAUGUUCAUUCCGAGUCAUUGACUAUUAGUAUGAAGCUGUAAUAAUUUUUCUAUCCAUUUUAACAAGUCCGUGUUAUUCGGACUCAUGUAAUAAUCAUAAUACAGAGUCCAUGAUCAGGGUCGUUUGCAUUGGAAAUGUGUUAAUUGUAUCCAUGUGGGUUGGCACAACAUGCAGUAGCAACUACUGCAAAUCAAGUCUAUCUUUCUGCUCCAGAUUUUCCAUCAAUUACGAUGCAAAGUCAUUGAUAAAAUUCCUGCCAACCUUUGGCACACUCUUUCUAGUACUGCCAUUUUAACACCCCAGGGUAACAGCACUAGGACAGAUCUGUACCUUCAUACAUUCUGCAUACCCGCCUUGUUAAAAUGUGAAAAACUACUUCAAAGAAAUCACAACGUCAAUGCUAUUAUGCUUUACAUAGAUUUUAAUGGCCUGCUGUAUAAGAUAUGAAUUGAUAGGAAAAGAUUGAAACAUUACAUUAUCCCAGGAUUUUAAAAACUGCAUUGGGCAUUAAAUCCUUCAAGUGUUUAUGCACAUGUAAUACUUCAGACAUACUUUACUUUUUCUGCCUGAUAGAAUGUUUUAAAGGUGAAACCAUUUUUCACUAUUGCAUAUAUAAUACACACACACACACACACACACACACACACACACACACACACACACACAUAUAUAUAUAUAUAUAUACAAUUGUUAUUGGGACUUCUGUUUUAAUCAUCAGUAUUUUAAGGAAAAUAAUGGAAACUCAGUAGAGAAUAUCUUAACUG